GGCUGACAGGGUUGAUGACUCCCGCUGGUGCAUGCUCUUCCAGAGAGAGAGACGGCGAGAGAGGGAACAUAAGCAGGGGGAGUGGGAGAGGAAGAAGCAGUACUCCUGCGGAGCAGGGAGCCCGACACCAGGGGACUCCGGAAUCCAGACCCCAACUGAAGGCAGACGCUUAGCCAACUGAGCCACCCAGGCUCUACACGCAGCAUGGAGCCCAAGGCAGGACUUAAACUCAUGACCCUGAGAUCAAAACCUGAGCUAAAAUCAAGAGUUGGACACUUGAAUGACUGAGCCACCCAGGCACCCCUAAUGACUGGUUUUUUAACCCCUGAAGUAAGAGGACAUUAGGGACCGUAUUUUGACAUAGCAAAUGAACUAUAGUAGAGUAAAUUAAGUUCAAGUUCAGCCUCCUUAAGAGACUCCAUUUAAAGACUCCCUAACAAAUUAGAAUGGUUUCCUACUAAACAAAAACAAAAAAAAGUAAAAUUCAGCUACUUCAAAAGUGAGAGAAAAAGGUUUUAAAGUUGAACAGUCAAUAUUUUAA